AUAGCGCAUCUCGAGGCCGUGUUAUUGUGAUUAGAUGGAAAAUUUGCGCGCUGCACAUGAAGACCAUAACCUCAGUUGGACUCUGUAUCAGAAAGAGACAUCGGAAAAACGGUGAUAGAGCAGAUUUUUCGGUACCGUACAAGAACAGUGUUUGCCACAGCACAUUGUCUACAAAUGGAUUGAAAAAUUUUGAAAUGGUCACACAAGUGCUACACACGAUGACGAGCUGGACAACUGUUUACUGCCACAAAUGAAGAAACCAUUGAGCAUUCACGUGAAAUGAUUCUCUUAGACAGUCGAUUAACUAUUGACGAAGUGGCACAUUGUGUGCAAAUUAGUCACAGUUCUGCCUACGAAAUCAUCCACAACUGACUUGGGUUACAUAAAGUUUGUGCAAGAUGGGUCCCAAAACAACUCACAUAGUUGCAUAAACAAAUGUGCUUGGACAUCUGCAAAAACAUUUGGAUCACUAUGGUAAUGAAGGAGACAACUUCUUAGACAGGAUCAUUACUGGUAAUGAAACAUGGAUCAAUCAUUAUAAGCUGGAAAGUAAAUGGCAGAGUAUGGAAUGGAAACAUCUAAAGUCACCAUGCAAGAAAAAGUUCAAGACCCAACCGUUUGUAGGAAAACUGAUGUUUACAGGUUUUUGAGACGCACAAUGUCCAGUACUGGAACAUUAUGGGGAAGGGGGCACAACAGUAAACAAUGUAUGUUACAGUGAGAUGCUUACUGACAGGCUAAAGCCUGCAAUUCAAAGCAAACACCGAGGAUUGCUGACAAACGGUGUUGUGUUGUUGCAUGACAAUUCCCAUCUGCAUACUGCUGCCCACACUGCUGAAACUCUCCAUUAACUCAAAUUUGAAGUACUGGAUCAUCCUCCAUAUAGGUCCAAUCAUGCCACUUCUGACCGUCACUUGUUUGGUCCACUCAAACAGGUCGUCAAUUUGCCUUGGACGAAGCAAUGAGAGAAGUGGUGCAUUCUUGGCUUGCAGCUCAACCGAGAAUCCUCUUUUAUGAGGGCAUCAGGAAGCUUGUACAACGAUAGACCAAGUGCGUUGAAACCCAAGGAGACUAUGUUGAAAAAUGAUGUUCUUCUACCCAAAAAAGACUUCCAAGAAAAUAUCAUCCAGGGAUGUUACAUUUUCUUAUCAUGUGAGGGUUUGCGGAAUAGAAAUCAUGAUCUGCAAGGAAGCUUUCCUAAGGCUUCAUGGCUUACAGAUACAUGCAAAAAGAGUGAGGAAUUUGCAACAUCAAAUGAAGCAGGGAUUUGCAGUGCCAAAAGAAGAUGGAAGAGGAAAACAUGGAAACUACCCACAUAAAUUUCAAGACGAAGCUGUACAAAGUGUUAGAGAAUUUCUCAACGCCAUACCGAAAUAGAACAGUCAUUGCAAUAGGCAACAGAACCCCAAUAGAGUGUAUUUGGAUUGUGAUCUCACAAUUGCUUCAUUGUUUCGAGAUAAAUACUGAGAAUACUGCAAGGAAAAGCAGAAUCCUGCAGUAUCUGAAAGUAAAUUCAGAGAAAUUUUCGUAUCUGAAUUUAACAUAGGCUUCAAACUACCAAAGAGUAACACCUGUUCAAAAUGUGGUGGAUUUCUAAUUGCAAUAAAGAACCCAGAAUUAUGUGCAGAAGAAGUCACAGAAAAGAAACAACAAUAUGAACUGCAUCUCAAAAAGGCUGACAGAGGACAAAAUAUGAUUGCAUCUUUAACUGCUCUGGCUAAAGAAAAUUUGAAAGAGCAUCAUGUGAUAGCAAUGGACAUGCAGCAAAUGUUCCCCACACCUAAACUAACAGAUGGUCCAGCAUUUUAUGAGAGGAAAAUAUGGACAUACAACUAUGGUAUUGAUGACUGUGGAUCAAAUAAGGGUUAUAUGUUUCUGUGGAGCGAGAAAGUGGAGGACGGGGUUCAGAUGAGGCUGGGAGCUGCUUAUUGAAGUACUUGGAUAUAACAAAUCCUCAGACAAAACAUCUCCACAUAAUCACAGACAAUUGCAAGGGUCAGGCAAAGAAUUGGACUAUUAUUGCUUUGGAAACGUCCCUUGUUUCUACUAAAAGAUUUGAUUCUGUCCAGCAUUACUUCCCUGUGGUAGGUCACACCAUGCUACCUUGAGAUCAUGAUAAUGGUCACAUUGAACGGUAUGCAAGAAACAGACGUCCAAUAGUAUACAAUCCAGGUGAAUGGGCAGAAGUAAUAAAAUCUGCGAGUCCAAAACAUUUCAUUGUAACUAAAAUGGAAAGAGAAGACUCAGAAGUUUGGAAAGCCUGGAGACAUUGAUCUCAAAACCUACAGAAUCCACAUCUGAAGAUCCCCACCAUUUCAGCGAAGCUACUCAAUUUAAGUUUGAGUCUGAAGAUCCCUUCAAGCUAAGUGUAAAGCACUGUUAGUCAGACAUAGGAGCUUUCAUGUCAGUGGAUAUUCGUGUCAAAAAGAAAGAAAGGCUAGUUGAACCAAAUCUAUAUCAUCUGCCAAUAAAGUACAGAAAGUCACUACCAAUUAACCAGAAAAAAUUGAUGCCAUUUCUUUCGGUCAUGUAAUGGAAGUAACGUGUACAAUGAUGAGGUAGAGGAACUUCCUAGAUGUAACUGUAUCAAUGAAAAAGCAAUUUAUACAUCUCAGAUACCUGAUAUGUAUACAUUAAUGUGUAAAAAUUAUAUAUUCUGCUUGCUGUGUAAGAGUAGUUAAAAUAAAUCCUUACAAAUUCAUACUUUAUGUUAUAAACAAUUUUUGGGAGAUGUCAUAAGCCACCGUUGACUACAUCUUAAUUAGAAUCAUUCUAAAAUUAAUAUUUUACAGCAUCCAGAGAGUUGACUAUUUAAUAACAUGUUUCGCAAGUAUUUGCAGUAGAAAUAAGGUUUCUAUUUUGUAUUAAACAUUUUCAGAUCUCCGUGGAACUUUAAACUUGCUGUAUCUCAAAACUAGUUUGAUGUGGCCUAUGACUCCGUCCCCUUCAAUUCUAUCUUGCUGUGAUUAACUGAACUAGCACCUAUUUUCCCUCUUAUAAUGUGCUAGGCUGCUUUAGUUCCAUUCUUGGAAUAACACA